GGGAUUGCCCCAGUAACGGCGAGUGAAGCGGCAACAGCUCAAAUUUGAAAUCUGGCCCCCAGGGUCCGAGUUGUAAUUUGCAGAGGAUGCUUUUGGCGAGGUGCCUUCCGAGUUCCCUGGAACGGGACGCCAUAGAGGGUGAGAGCCCCGUCUGGUUGGACACCGAGCCUCUGUAAAGCUCCUUCGACGAGUCGAGUAGUUUGGGAAUGCUGCUCUAAAUGGGAGGUAUAUGUCUUCUAAAGCUAAAUAUUGGCCAGAGACCGAUAGCGCACAAGUAGAGUGAUCGAAAGAUGAAAAGCACUUUGAAAAGAGGGUUAAAUAGUACGUGAAAUUGUUGAAAGGGAAGCGCUUAUGACCAGACUUGGGCCCGGUGAAUCAUCCAGCGUUCUCGCUGGUGCACUUUGCCGGGCUCAGGCCAGCAUCAGUUUGCCUUGGGGGAUAAAGGCUCUGGGAAUGUGGCUCCUCCGGGAGUGUUAUAGCCCACCGCACAAUACCCUGGGGCGGACUGAGGUUCGCGCAUUUAUGCAAGGAUGCUGGCGUAAUGGUCAUCAGCGACCCGUCUUGAAACACGGACCAAGGAGUCGUCUUCGUAUGCGAGUGUUCGGGUGUCAAACCCCUACGCGUAAUGAAAGUGAACGCAGGUGAGAGCUUCGGCGCAUCAUCGACCGAUCCUGAUGUUCUCGGAUGGAUUUGAGUAAGAGCAUACGGGGCCGGACCCGAAAGAAGGUGAACUAUGCCUGUAUAGGGUGAAGCCAGAGGAAACUCUGGUGGAGGCUCGCAGCGGUUCUGACGUGCAAAUCGAUCGUCAAAUAUGGGCAUGGGG
rnacentral:rRNA from 3 species